CGGUAGCAGGAGAAAGCUUGCUUUCUUGCUGACGAGUGGCGGACGGGUGAGUAAUGCUUGGGAAUCUGGCUUAUGGAGGGGGAUAACUACUGGAAACGGUAGCUAAUACCGCGUAAUAUCGAGAGAUUAAAGGGUGGGACUUUCGGGCCACCUGCCAUAAGAUGAGCCCAAGUGGGAUUAGGUAGUUGGUGGGGUAAAGGCCUACCAAGCCUACGAUCUCUAGCUGGUCUGAGAGGAUGGCCAGCCACACUGGAACUGAGACACGGUCCAGACUCCUACGGGAGGCAGCAGUGGGGAAUAUUGCACAAUGGGGGGAACCCUGAUGCAGCCAUGCCGCGUGAAUGAAGAAGGCCUUCGGGUUGUAAAGUUCUUUCGGUGAUGAGGAAGGUGUUUUGUUUAAUAGACAAAGCAAUUGACGUUAGUCACAGAAGAAGCACCGGCUAACUCCGUGCCAGCAGCCGCGGUAAUACGGAGGGUGCGAGCGUUAAUCGGAAUAACUGGGCGUAAAGGGCACGCAGGCGGAUUGUUAAGUGAGAUGUGAAAGCCCCGGGCUUAACCUGGGAAUUGCAUUUCAGACUGGCAGUCUAGAGUAUUUUAGGGAGGGGUAGAAUUCCACGUGUAGCGGUGAAAUGCGUAGAGAUGUGGAGGAAUACCGAAGGCGAAGGCAGCCCCUUGGGAAU
rnacentral:rRNA from 1 species